rnacentral:rRNA from 1 species
CCUACGGGAGGCAGCAGUGGGGAAUCUUAGACAAUGGGCGCAAGCCUGAUCUAGCCAUGCCGCGUGAGUGACGAAGGCCCUAGGGUCGUAAAGCUCUUUCGCCAGGGAUGAUAAUGACAGUACCUGGUAAAGAAACCCCGGCUAACUCCGUGCCAGCAGCCGCGGUAAUACGGAGGGGGUUAGCGUUGUUCGGAAUUACUGGGCGUAAAGCGCGCGUAGGCGGACUGGAAAGUUGGGGGUGAAAUCCCGGGGCUCAACCCCGGAACUGCCUCCAAAACUCUCAGUCUGGAGUUCGAGAGAGGUGAGUGGAAUUCCGAGUGUAGAGGUGAAAUUCGUAGAUAUUCGGAGGAACACCAGUGGCGAAGGCGGCUCACUGGCUCGAUACUGACGCUGAGGUGCGAAAGUGUGGGGAGCAAACAGGAUUAGAUACCCUGGUAGUCCACACCGUAAACGAUGAAUGCCAGUCGUCGGCAAGCAUGCUUGUCGGUGACACACCUAACGGAUUAAGCAUUCCGCCUGGGGAGUACGGCCGCAAGGUUAAAACUCAAAGGAAUGA